rnacentral:lncRNA from 1 species
AAGACUUGUAAGUGUAGGAUUUUCUGGGAGUGCCAGGGGGUCAGGGCUGCUUUAUGGCCCCGUUCCACGUCAGAAGAACGGCUGAGGCGUUCCUUUGUGCUCACAGCACUGUAACAGGGUCAGCUUUCACCUGGCUGGAGCCUGCCAAGAUCACCAAUUUGAGUCCAUUGUGCCAUUGGAAAAUUGUUCAUUUUCAUGGAUAAGUCAGAAUUAAUGUUGUGUGGCGGUGGGAGUGCAGGUCAGUGCAGGGUCAGUGAGGCCACUCUGGGGCUGCUGGCCCUGACCUUGGCACAGACUGCCAGGGCCAGUGCUGGUGCCAAGGCACAGCUGCCAAUAUCUCCUAUACUCUGCCGUAGUAUCAAGAAAUACAAAUAUACAGUACUUGGGCAAACCUAAAAAAACACAAAAUGCCUUUUGGUCUCUUUAACAGAGUAACAUCAAUGUUUCUUUCAUGUAAAUGUCCAUGGGGCUUUGCUGCCUCCACAGUGAAGUGCAUUCCAAACAGUAACUGCAAUAACUAGUAAAAAGAAUUAUAAGGCAUGGGGCAGAGCUGGGCUCCUGCUCUCCUGCAGCAGAGGCACUGCUGGCUGCAGCUCUGGAGCUUGGCACUGAUGCACUUGCACUGCACAACCAUCACUUUCUCAAAUGGAUAUGUCAUUUACGCUUUCCUUAAUUAAAAUUUCAUCUAUCCCUGCCUCUGUGCACAUGCCUCUGUGCACAUGUGUCUGCCUGAGCGCUGCCAUGUUUGGAGCUGUGUGGUGGCUGCUGUCAGAACCCAGGAAUGCAGAACAGAACCCUGCACAGGCAAACGUGGCAGAACCUGGGCAGUGUCUGCAGCAGCAGUUAGGAAUCUGGGACUGGGAGCUGACUGUACUUGCAUUCCCAGGAGGACAAAUCAGGGCCUGGAUUGCCAGGAAUAAUACCCAGAGUUGUGGUGCUGAGAAGGUGAAGCUGCAGCGUGAGCCCACCUGGAAUCAUCAUUGUAGGAGAAAUGCACUGGGAGAAGCCAUGGAUGGGCAGGUUCACCAGCACUCCAGUGCUCGCUCCGUCUGUCAUUGGGCACAGGAGAUCCUUUGGCUGUGUGGCCGGCAGUGCUCACACCAGGGCUGGCCAUGUCCCCUCUGCAGAGUUCCAGCUCUGAUCCUGGACAAAGCAAGGGAGGAGGUCACCUUCAGAGAGGCUGGUUCAGAGAACAGUGGGAGUAGCCAUGGAGUGCCCUGUCUAGUGAAGUCUCAAAGAGAAGAUGGCUCUGAAAAGCAUGAUCAAGUCUUUGAAAAUUAA